rnacentral:rRNA from 1 species
UACGUAGGGUGCGAGCGUUAAUCGGAAUUACUGGGCGUAAAGCGUGCGUAGGCGGUUCGUUAAGUCAGUUGUGAAAGCCCCGGGCUCAACCUGGGAAUUGCGGUCGAAACUGGCGAACUAGAAUCUGGCAGAGGGGGGUGGAAUUCCACGUGUAGCAGUGAAAUGCGUAGAGAUGUGGAGGAACACCGAUGGCGAAGGCAGCCCCCUGGGCUGAGAUUGACGCUCAGGCACGAAAGCGUGGGGAGCAAACAGG